AUGUUGUUUUCCUCAGCGCGAAGUGCUUACAAUUCUCAAAGGCGUCAACAAGUCCAGGAGGAGAUUGACAAGGUGCAGGCAAGAUCUCAAGUUCAUUGCUGUCUUUUUCUGUUUGAACAUUUUCUUAUUUGGAGUUGCAGCCGAUUUAUGGUGUGUCAACCGACUUGGCUUAGGAUGUAUUGUAGUUGGUUUGGUUGCAUCAACCAACAAGUUUUAUUAUGUAUUGCAGUUGGUUUGGUACCAUCAGCCGAUUGGCCAGUUGGAAAACCAGCGGGGAAAACAUGUACUGUGAGCUCCCCUCGCAUUCAGAGUUUAGAGCUUGAUGAACAAUGUUGUGUGAGCUUGUUGAUGAUCUGCUAUUUUUCACAAAAUUGGGACAUGUCGGAUGGUCGAUGUGAGGUUCUCUAA
rnacentral:rRNA from 1 species